GGAGCUGGUAGUGACCUAUUCUUCCUUUUCUGCAUACAUUCUUCAGGGGCUUUAGGUGUCACUUCUAACAACACUUCACCAUGUCUGUUCUUCCGUGGAACACCUGGAGCUUCUGUUUAUUGUUGACUUUUCUAGUUACAGCUUUGGAUCCACUAAAGAAGCCUGGUUUUAGUGCUGAUUUACGUGAGCUGUCAUCACCUCUGUGUGCUUAUAUGUGUGCAGUAUGCACACACUUUCAUCUGUGCUCUAAGCUCCAGGCCCCAUCCUGACUGUUUCUUAGCUCACAGAUAGUUAGACAAAAUGGCCCCUCGUGGGCUUAGACAAGAUGCUGGGCCUAACUGAGGCUGUUUUCCCUGUUAUAAUUUGUCACUGACCCCUUGUGAGGGGUGGAACAAAGUCCCUGCCUGUUCCUGUCUCACACUGCUCUGAGGGGAGACAUGAAAAAUCUAGAUUUGGUAAUAGGCCUCUGAGGGUCUUGUACAUUAUUAGUUAAAGGAAUAAUUCAUAUUAAGAACAGGUUGUUGGGAUGGAAAGACAGUCAGAAAAAUGGAACAAGCAGCUCCCAUGACAGGCUACAGCAGCAUGAGGUGUGUGGGGGCCAUACUCCUCAUACUUGUAGUCUUAUGGGACUGAUGACACACACACCAGACCUGGCUACAUGACUUGGCAGGUUAAGGGCUAAGUUUACUGCAAGGUUAGUGAUUCUAUGUGAUUUGGAUACAAACUGAUCAAGAUGUCCCCUCCCCCUUCCCUUUUUGAGACAGGCUAUCUCUGUGUAGGUCCUGACUAUUCAACUCACUAUGUUGACCAGGUUGGCCUUGAACUUACAGAGAUCUGCCUGCUUCUGCCUCCCGGAUAGACUGUUCCUUUUCUGAAGAGGGGUUAGAUAGUAGAAUCCAACCUACCAAGAUUCUCUAAGGUAAAGUACUAGGUUCCAUGACAACAGAGAGAAGUGACAGAUGGCUGAGAUUGGUUCUCCCUCCAGGAAGUGAGGGAGAUGGAUGUGUAAGCACUUGACUAUAAUACAAGGAUGAGUGACAUCAGCAUGUAAACAGUUGCACACAGUGGGGCCUUCACAGGGGGAAUGACUGACAGCUGCACACAGUGGGUCCUUCACAGGGGGAAUGACUAACAGCUGCACACAGUGGAUCCUUCACAGAGGGAAUGACUGACAGCUGCACACAGUGGGUCCUUCACAGGGGGAAUGACUAACAGCUGCACACAGUGGAUCCUUCACAGAGGGAAUGACUGGCAGCUGCACACAGUGGGUCCUUCACAGGGGGAAUGACUAACAGCUGCACACAGUGGGUCCUUCACAGAGGGAAUGACUAACAGCUGCACACAGUGGGUCCUUCACAGGGGGAAUGACUAACAGCUGCACACAGUGGGUCCUUCACAGAGGGAAUGACUAACAGCUGCACACAGUGGAUCCUUCACAGAGGGAAUGACUGGCAGCUGCACACAGUGGGUUCUUCACAGGGGGAAUGACUGAUUUCAAAGCAGACUUUGAGGAAACCUUUAUAGGAAAGGAAGAACACCUAUUCAGACUCCAGCAAGCACAGAGGUGAGGGAAAGAAUCUCACAACUCAUCUCAUGCUCAGGUAAUCUCGCUCUCCUGGCAACUGAUGAGGCUGUCUGGUUAACCACCAUGUGCUUUUUUGAGUUCCAAACUGUAGACCCUCCACUAAAGAAGCAAUCAAGACUCCUGAGGGUCCCUGGGACCCUGCCAUCCCCUGGACAUGUUCUACAAAGCUAAAGCCACCUUGGGCAGAGGACAUGAGACAUUCUGUCUCUCUCUCUUCUACACCUCACCCUGUACUUCCUCACCAAGCAGAGCUGGACCACCUGGCGCUACCAGGCCCGUAUUGUCUCCUCUGGUUCCUGGGAUAAUCUGGCCCCUCUGGCCUCACAGUUGUACCAAUGGUUUGUUUGCAACCCCCUCUCUGGAAACCACACUCUCAGAAGGCAAAAGAAAAACAAAACCCCAGUAACAGCAAAAGAAGCCUAAGACAUUUCCCCCCUCUUUCCUUAGACUAGUUAAUAGAACAGACUGUAGAGAACCCAGGUGAAAUGUCACUCUACUCAGCAGGUAAGGAGUUAACUGCCUUGUGAAGUGAGCAAUGCAGUAGUCACAAAGCUGUCACCGAUGUGGAACAGAGGAAAACCCCUGCCGCACAGACCUGUGCAUGCCACAGCCAUGGUCCCCAGGAAUGUGAUCAAAUGGCAUCUAUCCUGGAUUCAAAGGGCAGUUCAAAGCCUUUGUGGAUAUGUUGUAAGCUAAAAUACAUAACGAUAGUUUUAGAAUGUGUAUAGUUGAUUGGGAAUAUAAAGGUCAGCCAGAAUGGAGGAGUCAAUAAAGGGAGAUGGGGCUGUUAAUAUGAUCAAAAUGCAAAAUAUACCAUAAAUGUAUAAAAUGUCAUAAUUAAAUCAAUUAUUAUGUGUAAUUAACAUAUGGUGACACAUCUUUAAAAUGUAUGAAUGAGGUGUAUCCGUCAGCAUAGCUGGGUCCCCGAUCUGCUCAUAGGUUUGUUGUGUAAGCACAACUUUCUUGUGCCCCAGGUACCUUUUGGUCUAUCCAGCCACCUUCAUUAGCAUCUCCUAGCUUGGGGGUAUACAUGCCAUCCCAUCUCCUAAUAGAGAUCAGCAAGUGUCUUGUGACCAGCAGUCCUCAUCCAGCACAGUCCAGACAGCCAUUUCCUCCUACUUGUCAGAUUCUUCUGAAAUUCUGGAAAUACUGUAGAAUAUUUUCUAUGUCUGAUAAAUGAAACAACAAACAGCAGCUAUGUUUGUUUCAUAUGACAUGGAUCUCAUUGCCUUAUGCUGAUACAUAAAAUUGGGUUAAAUAGCUUUUCUCCCAUUCCUAGGGCACAAUGAAGAUAAGUAAGAUCCUAGGAUAGAUAAGUAAACAAACAAAGGAAAAAGGAAGAAACUAGUCAAGUCAUGUAUGGCAUCAUCAGUAAUGAUAAUGCCACCCCAGGCUUUUUGCUGGGGAAAGUGGUGGAGUUUCUUCCCUCCCUCCCCCCUCCUUCCCUCCCUUCCUCAUUC